rnacentral:rRNA from 1 species
GACGAACGCUGGCGGCGUGCCUAAUACAUGCAAGUAGAACGCUGAAGAGAGGAGCUUGCUCUUCUUGGAUGAGUUGCGAACGGGUGAGUAACGCGUAGGUAACCUGCCUGGUAGCGGGGGAUAACUAUUGGAAACGAUAGCUAAUACCGCAUAAAAUGGAUUAUCGCAUGAUAAUCCAUUGAAAGGUGCAAAUGCAUCACUACCAGAUGGACCUGCGUUGUAUUAGCUAGUUGGUGGGGUAACGGCUCACCAAGGCGACGAUACAUAGCCGACCUGAGAGGGUGAUCGGCCACACUGGGACUGAGACACGGCCCAGACUCCUACGAGAGGCAGCAGUAGGGAAGCUUCGGCAAUGGACGGAAGUCUGACCGAGCAACGCCGCGUGAGUGAAGAAGGUUUUCGGAUCGUAAAGCUCUGUUGUAAGAGAAGAACGAGUGUGAGAGUGGAAAGUUCACACUGUGACGGUAUCUGACCAGAAAGGGACGGCUAACUACGUG